rnacentral:rRNA from 1 species
GUGAGGAAUUUUCCGCAAUGGGCGAAAGCCUGACGGAGCAAUGCCGCGUGAAGGAUGAAGGCCUAUGGGUUGUAAACUUCUUUUCUCAGAAAAGAAUUAUGACGGUAUCUGAGGAAUAAGCAUCGGCUAACUCUGUGCCAGCAGCCGCGGUAAGACAGAGGAUGCAAGCGUUAUCCGGAAUGAUUGGGCGUAAAGCGUGCGUAGGCGGUUUUGUAAGUUAGGAGUGAAAGCCCAGGGCUCAACCUUGGAAUUGCUCUUAAAACUGCAAGGCUCGAAUCUCGGAGAGGAUAGCGGAAUUUCCAGUGUAGCAGUGAAAUGCGUAGAUAUUGGAAGGAACACCAGUGGCGUAAGCGGCUAUCUGGACGAGUAUUGACGCUGAGGCACGAAAGCGUGGGGAUCAAACAGGAUUAGAAACCCUGGUAGUCC